rnacentral:rRNA from 1 species
UACGGGGGGGGGCAAGCGUUGUUCGGAAUUACUGGGCGUAAAGGGCUCGUAGGCGGCCAACUAAGUCAGACGUGAAAUCCCUCGCUUACCGGGGAACUGCAUCUGAUACUGGAUGGCUUGAGUUCGGGAGAGGGAUGCGGAAUUCCAGGUGUAGCGGUGAAAUGCGUAGAUAUCUGGAGGAACACCGGUGGCGAAGGCGGCAUCCUGGGACCGACACUGACGCUGAGGAGCGAAAGCCAGGGGAGCAAACGGG